rnacentral:rRNA from 1 species
GUAGGGAAUAUUGGGCAAUGGUCGGAAGACUGACCCAGCCAUGCCGCGUGCAGGAAGACGGCCCUCUGGGUUGUAAACUGCUUUUAUCUGGGAAGAAAAAGGCCAUGCGUGGCAAAUUGCCGGUACCAGAUGAAUAAGCACCGGCUAACUCCGUGCCAGCAGCCGCGGUAAUACGGAGGGUGCGAGCGUUGUCCGGAUUUAUUGGGUUUAAAGGGUGCGUAGGCGGCUGAUUAAGUCAGCGGUGAAAGACUUCGGCUUAACCGGAGCAGUGCCGUUGAUACUGGUUGGCUUGAGUGUCGGGGGGGUACAUGGAAUUGAUGGUGUAGCGGUGAAAUGCAUAGAUACCAUCAGGAACACCGAUAGCGAAGGCAUUGUACUGGCCGACAACUGACGCUGAUGCACGAAAGUGUGGGGAUCGAACAGGAUUAGAUACCCCAGUAGUCC